rnacentral:rRNA from 1 species
GGAUUAGAUACCCUGGUAGUCCACGCCGUAAACGAUGUGCACUAGGUCCUGGAGCUUUUGACGGCAUCGGGGCCGAAGGAAAACUAUUAAGUGCACCGCCUGGGGAGUACGGUCGCAAGGCUAAAACUCAAAGGAAUUGACGGGGGCUCACACAAGCGGUGGAGCAUGUGGCUUAAUUCGAAACAACGCGAAGAACCUUAUCCUGGGUUUGACAUGUAUGGAUUAACUCUGGGAAACCAGAGCCACGCCUUUUAGGUGGAACAUACACAGGUGCUGCAUGGCUGUCGUCAGCUCGUCCGC